UUGAAAACCCAAGUGAGUAUUUUUGUUAGCCAGUGUGAUUGUUCUGCCUCUUUUCCAGCCCUGUUCAACCCUUCUCGCUGCUUAUAUACGAGCUGUUCAGUGCUUUAUGGUGUCCUAAGUGUGCAUAAAAAGGUCAUAAUAGGGUAUAUUUUAUGGGUCUUGAUAUGUAUUGAAAACCCAAGUGAGUAUUUUUGUUAGCCAGUGUGAUUGUUCUGCCUCUUUUCCAGCCCUGUUCAACCCUUCUCGCUGCUUAUAUACGAGCUGUUCAGUGCUUUAUGGUGUCCUUAGUGUGCAUAAAAAGGUCAUAAUAGGGUAUAUUUUAUGGGUCUUGAUAUGUAUUGAAAACCCAAGUGAGUAUUUUUGUUAGCCAGUGUGAUUGUUCUGCCUCUUUUCCAGCACUAUUCAACCCUUUAAAUGCAUAUAUAAGAACUCUUCAGUGCAUUAUGUUCCUCCCAGAGUGUGUAAAAGGCUAACAUUGAAGCAUAAUAGGGUCAUAUCAGGUCAUUUUGAGGUUAUAGUGUCAUUGUUCUGCCUCUUUCCCAGCCGUAUUUAACCCUUCUCGCCAUAUUCAAUACAUAUACAAGAGCUGCUCAGUGCAUUGUGUUUCUCCUACAGUGUGUGAAAGGGUCAUGUUAGGUCAUAUUUGGUCAACUUGUCAUGGGGUCAGACGUGGCGGUGACCUUCUCCCGCCCUAUUUGACCCAUCCCACCCCAUUCAGUACAUAAGUAAGAGCUGUUCAGUGCAUAAUGUUCCUCCUAGUGUAUGUAAGGGUAAUUUUGGGCUAUAUAGAGGUCAUGCCGUCAUGGGUCAGGCGUGGCGGUGACCUCCUCCCGCCCUAUUUAACCCUUCCC